CUACGGGUUGCAGCAGUGGGGAAUAUUGGGCAAUGGGCGAAAGCCUGACCCAGCAACGCCGCGUGAAGGAAGAAGGCUUUCGGGUUGUAAACUUCUUUGACAGGGGAAGAGUAGAAGACGGUACCCUGAAAACAAGCCACGGCUAACUACGUGCCAGCAGCCGCGGUAAUACGUAGGUGGCAAGCGUUGUCCGGAUUUACUGGGUGUAAAGGGCGUGCAGCCGGGAAGGCAAGCCAGAUGUGAAAUCCGUGGGCUUAACCCACGAACUGCAUUUGAAACUGCUUGUCUUGAGUAUCGGAGAGGUAAUCGGAAUUCCUAGUGUAGCGGUGAAAUGCGUAGAUAUUAGGAAGAACACCAGUGGCGAAGGCGGAUUACUGGACGACAACUGACGGUGAGGCGCGAAAGCGUGGGGAGCAAACAGGAUUAGAUACCCGUGUAGUC
rnacentral:rRNA from 1 species